GGAUGGCUUAGAAGCAGCCAUCCUUUAAAGAAAGCGUAAUAGCUCACUAGUCGAGUCGGCCUGCGCGGAAGAUGUAACGGGGCUAAGCAAUAUACCGAAGCUGCGGCAGCACGUAAGUGCUGGGUAGGGGAGCGUUGUGUAAGUGGUUGAAGGUGGUUCGAGAGGGCUGCUGGACAUAUCACAAGUGCGAAUGCUGACAUGAGUAACGACA
rnacentral:rRNA from 1 species